UACGUAGGAUUCAAGCGUUAUCCGGAUUUAUUGGGUUUAAAGGGUGCGUAGGCGGAUUGAUAAGUUAGAGGUGAAAUGUCCGAGCUCAACUCGGGAACUGCCUCUAAUACUGUUGAUCUAGAGAGUAGAUGCGGUAGGCGGAAUGUAUGGUGUAGCGGUGAAAUGCUUAGAGAUCAUACAGAACACCGAUUGCGAAGGCAGCUUACCAAUCUAUAUCUGACGUUGAGGCACGAAAGCGUGGGUAGCAAACAGG
rnacentral:rRNA from 1 species